AAAACAUGUCCUUUAGGUAUAUUAAUUAAAGGUCUGACCUGCCCAGUGAUGAACUUAAACGGCCGCAGUAUUCUGACUGUGCGAAGGUAGCAUAAUCAUUUGUCUUUUAAUUGAAGGCUUGUAUGAAUGGUUGGAUGAGGAAUUAUCUUUCUUUAUUUAAAUUUUGUGAAUUUGAUUUUUGAGUCAAAAAGCUUAAAUUUUUUUGCAAGACGAGAAGACCCUAUAGAAUUUUACUAUUGUAUUAUUUAUUUAUUAUUUUGUUGUUGAUUAUUGAGUAUUUAUUUUAUAGUUUUGUUGGGGCGACAUUGAAAAUUAAAUAACUUUCAAUAAUUAUGUAUUCAUUAAUUAAUGUGUUGUUUGAUCCUGAUGUUUUGGAUUAUAAGAUUAAAUUACCUUAGGGAUAACAGCGUAAUUUUUUCGGAGAGUUCCUAUCGAUGAAAGAGUUUGCGACCUCGAUGUUGGAUUAAAGUAAGUUUUUGGUGUAGUAGCUAAUAUAACUAA
rnacentral:rRNA from 1 species